CUUAGUAGAGUGUAUUUAGAGAUGGGGUGGGAAUGAUUCAACUAUUCACUAAGUACUUCACUGACAACCUAAGCUAACACUGGGGCAGUGACAGAUGGAAAAGCAGCUCUUGAGAAUUACAGCAGAAUCCAGCUCCUCAAACCUGUCAUCCCAGGAGACCUUUCCUUGCAGUGGUUUCUGUGAGAAUUGGCCCCCUGAGGACAGACCCAGGAAGGCGGAGGGUCUAGCCUUGGACCGUGCACCGGCUCUCAGCCUGAAAUGUUUACUCAGUUUACCAAAUGGCUCAAACCAUAAAAAUCACCGUGAUGGUUUGUAGAUAGCCAAGCCCACCAAGGGAUGUUUCCCCUGAGUUGUCCAAAUUCAUGAACACCCUUCACCUGCAGGGAGGUGAUCUGUUGGAGAGGAGAGGAAAACUGGCGCCUUCUCUUUUAAAGGCAAUAAUGGAAUUGACUUUCAAUAACUGAAUUUGUGCACAAAACAUUCUAAACACUAGUGAAGCCUGUUUUGUUGAACUAAUUCUGGCUCUGGAAAUGUUUUAUAGUUAUUUACAGUUUUGUUUUGUUCGGGGAGUUUUUGGUUUGGAUUCAAGCUUAGUUUGUUAAUAUGUAUAAUUUAGCAUAUAUUGCACUCAUGUAAAUAUGGAGUAAGUAUUGUAAACUAUUUCAUUGCUGGGGAUUGUGGGUGUUAUACAUACAUUUAGGACUGCAAUU
rnacentral:lncRNA from 1 species